rnacentral:tRNA from 1 species
GCACCCGUAGCUCAGUUGGUUAGAGUGCAUGCUUGACAUGCAUGAGGUCGCUGGUUCGAGUCCAGCCGGGUGCAC